rnacentral:rRNA from 1 species
GUAGUUAGCCGGUGCUUCUUCUGUGAGUGAUGUCCUUCCUGCCGGCUAUUAACCCGCAGGCCUUCUUCCUCACUGAAAGUGCUUUACAACCCGAAGGCCUUCUUCACACACGCGGCAUGGCUGGAUCAGGGUUGCCCCCAUUGUCCAAUAUUCCCCACUGCUGCCUCCCGUAGGAGUCUGGGCCGUGUCUCAGUCCCAGUGUGGCUGAUCAUCCUCUCAGACCAGCUACGGAUCGUCGCCUUGGUGAGCCGUUACCUCACCAACCAGCUAAUCCGACAUAGGCUCAUCCGAUAGCGCGAGGCCCGAAGGUCCCCCGCUUUCCCCCGUAGGGCGUAUGCGGUAUUAGCCUGGGUUUCCCCAGGUUAUCCCCCACUACCGGGCAGAUUCCUAUGCAUUACUCACCCGUCCGCCGCUCGCCACCAGGGAGCAAGCUCCCCGUGCUGCCGCUCGACUUGCAUGUGUUAGGCCUGCCGCCAGCGUUCAAUCUGAACCAAGAUCAAAUUCUGA